UCGAAAACGUCACACAAAAAAUUGAAAAUAGAAUGGCUCUGGAAAAACGAAGUCGUGAUGAUCGCCAGCACCACCUGAUGAAAAGAUUUCCGAACUCACCCUGGACAACUGCUGUUGCACCACACCAGUAUCGAAGGCCUUGCGGAUAGCUUCAAAGCGCUGGAAGCGCUCAGUUCGAUUAACGUCGGGCUACUCAUAAAGUGUCACAGAGGAGCUUCUCCAAGCUACCGGCCCUCUGCAAUCUGGAACUGUAACAACCGCAUUCAGAAUGCUCUGAGCUACCUCACCGGUAGCAGCAGGCUGACACACCUGAACUCGCCCAGCAAACGGAUAAAGGACAAAGCUGUAACAGUUAAUGCGGCCGGAAAACCUCUUUGUUUUGUAGAUCAAGACAAAAUCUUCGAGCUAAUUUUCUCGCUGAAGUGUUUUGAAGUGGAUGGAUUUGACCAAAGACUCCCACGAACGCACCGGUGAGGAUAAAGACGAUGAGGAAGGUGAAACCGCAGUGAUGGGAAGUUACUGCAGGCGAGCUACAAAAGAAGCCCAUCGGUUACAUAUUCCGGCAAAACGAAUAAUCUCCGGAACGUCAAGCCAACAAAUGGACAUAAUCUGAAUGGAAACGGAACUGCUCUGAGAACCAAUGGCAAUCAGGAGCAGCAACAAAAGCAGCCACAGCAACCACUACUUCCACAUCGUUAGCGCCAUCUCCAAACUAGUAACUAGUGACAAAAGAUAUUUUAGUUUCAAGAUUAAAAUUGUCGAUUUUAAAGUUUACAAAUAAGGUUUUGACACAAAACUGAUUAAAAUUCAGGUCAAAAUUUUAUCUCAAUCAAAAGAUCUAUUAUAAUUGAAUAUUGUGCACACAUGUUUGUACUGAUACAAAUUUGAAUUAAUCAUAAAA